rnacentral:rRNA from 1 species
UACGGGGGGGGCAAGCGUUGUUCGGAAUUACUGGGCGUAAAGGGCUCGUAGGCGGCCAACUAAGUCAGACGUGAAAUCCCUCGGCUUAACCGGGGAACUGCGUCUGAUACUGGAUGGCUUGAGUUUGGGAGAGGGAUGCGGAAUUCCAGGUGUAGCGGUGAAAUGCGUAGAUAUCUGGAGGAACACCGGUGGCGAAGGCAGCUCUCUGGGACGGUACUGACGCUGAGGUGCGAAAGCGUGGGGAGCAAACAGG